UUCUUCUUUUUUUAUAGCUCUACUACAAAGUUGAUACAGUAGGACAGAUUACAGAAAUAAGAAAACUGGCUUUUCUCAUCAGCAAUAGUGUGGCAAUUCUAAAAGUUCAACAUGCGGCCUACACAGCUAGCUCAUGUGGAGAAGAGAUAUGAGACUGGUUGCGAAUAAAUGUACACUUAGUUAAGUGCAUCAUGGAUCUACAAAGUGAAAUAUAUGUACCAAAAAUAUUAGUUUAUUCAUAACUAAGCCUUUUUCAGCACUGCAGUCAAUAGAACAAUGAUAGUGACAAGAAUUGAGACUAUUUCAUACCUCAAACUAUGGGAAAAUACUUCUUGAGAUCAGUUCUCUACUACAAAGUUGAUACAGUAGGACAGAUUACAGAAAUAAGAAAACUGGCUUUUCUCAUCAGCAAUAGUGUGGCAAUUCUAAAAGUUCAACAUGCGGCCUACACAGCUAGCUCAUGUGGAGAAGAGAUAUGAGACUGGUUGCGAAUAAAUGUACACUUAGUUAAGUGCAUCAUGGAUCUACAAAGUGAAAUAUAUGUACCAAAAAUAUUAGUUUAUUCAUAACUAAGCCUUUUUCAGCACUGCAGUCAAUAGAACAAUGAUAGUGACAAGAAUUGAGACUAUUUCAUACCUCAAACUAUGGGAAAAUACUUCUUGAGAUCAGUUCUCUACUACAAAGUUGAUACAGUAGGACAGAUUACAGAAAUAAGAAAACUGGCUUUUCUCAUCAGCAAUAGUGUGGCAAUUCUAAAAGUUCAACAUGCGGCCUACACAGCUAGCUCAUGUGGAGAAGAGAUAUGAGACUGGUUGCGAAUAAAUGUACACUUAGUUAAGUGCAUCAUGGAUCUACAAAGUGAAAUAUAUGUACCAAAAAUAUUAGUUUAUUCAUAACUAAGCCUUUUUCAGCACUGCAGUCAAUAGAACAAUGAUAGUGACAAGAAUUGAGACUAUUUCAUACCUCAAACUAUGGGAAAAUACUUCUUGAGAUCAGUUGUAAGUGGUUUUAUAUCAUGCAUGAAACAAUAAACUAAAGUAGUUUUAAACACUGUUGGAUAAUUUGUACACUGUACCAGAAAACUGACACAAUAAAAGUUAUUAAAUAUGAACACAAUCAUUUUUUUCUAAUUUUUUGGCAUUCAAAGCAGUAUGACGGCAAAAGACACAAAUAUUGCUAUAAUAAAUUUGGUCUUACAAAACCUAUAAAUGUUUUUUUUUGUGCUGUAACCAUAUGAAAUGCAUGUAUUUUUAAUGGUUAAUAACUCAAGAACUCAA